UGGGGAAUAUUGGACAAUGGGGGAAACCCUGAUCCAGCGACGCCGCGUGUGUGAAGAAGGCCUGCGGGUUGUAAAGCACUUUUAGUGGGGAUGAAAAAUCCAGGGCUAAUAUCCCUGGGUCUUGACCUAACCCAAAGAAAAAGCACCGGCUAACUCUGUGCCAGCAGCCGCGGUAAUACAGAGGGUGCGAGCGUUAAUCGGAAUCACUGGGCGUAAAGCGUGCGUAGACGGUUAGAUAAGUCGGGUGUGAAAGCCCCGGGCUCAACCUGGGAAUUGCAUUCGAGACUGUUUAGCUAGGGUACGGAAGAGGGAAGCGGAAUUUCAGGUGUAGCGGUGAAAUGCGUAGAUAUCUGAAGGAACACCAGUGGCGAGAGCGGCUUCCUGGUCCAGUACCGACGUUCAGGCACGAAAGCGUGGGGAGCAAACAGGAUUAGAUACCCUGGUAGUCCACGCCAUAAACGAUGAGAACUAGACGUUGGGGGGGUAAGCCUCUCAGUGUCGCAGCUAACGCGCUAAG
rnacentral:rRNA from 1 species